AUGUCAUGAUGAGGAAAUUUCUACAAUAGCUCAUUGAAUCACUCUCAUACAUCAUAGAGAGAUUUUUCAUCGAGUUGUUGAAAUGUAGUGAUUUCAGUUUUGAGCUU
rfam:Gossypium hirsutum cultivar TM-1 chromosome 3, whole genome shotgun sequence